rnacentral:misc_RNA from 1 species
AACGCACCUUGCGCCCCUUGGUAUUCCGAGGAGCAUGCCUGUUUGAGUGUCAUUAAAUUCUCAACCCUUUCAGCUUUUGCGAGUUGAAUUGGCUUGGAUGUGGGGGUUGCGGGCUUCUCAGAAGUCGGCUCCUCUUAAAUGCAUUAGCGGAACCUUUGUGGACCAGCUUUGGUGUGAUAAUUAUCUACGCCAUGGCCGUGAAGCAGCUUUACAUGGGGUUCAGCUUCUAACCGUCCAUUGACUUGGACAAUUUCUGACAUUUUGACCUCAAAUCAGGUAGGACUACCCGCUGAACUUAA